UAGGGAAUCUUCCACAAUGGGCGAAAGCCUGAUGGAGCAACGCCGCGUGUGUGAUGAAGGGUUUCGGCUCGUAAAACACUGUUGUAAGAGAAGAAUGACAUUGAGAGUAACUGUUCAAUGUGUGACGGUAUCUUACCAGAAAGGAACGGCUAAAUACGUGCAG
rnacentral:rRNA from 1 species